UACGGAAGGCAGCAGUGGGGAAUAUUGCACAAUGGGCGCAAGCCUGAUGCAGCCAUGCCGCGUGUAUGAAAAAGGCCUUCGGGUUGUAAAGUACUUUCAGUCGUGAGGAAGGUGUUAAGGUUAAUAACCUUAGCAAUUGACGUUAGCGACAGAAGAAGCACCGGCUAACUCCGUGCCAGCAGCCGCGGUAAUACGGAGGGUGCGAGCGUUAAUCGGAAUUACUGGGCGUAAAGGGCACGCAGGCGGUUAAUUAAGUUGGAUGUGAAAUCCCCGGGCUUAACCUGGGAAUGGCAUUCAAGACUGGUUAGCUAGAGUUUUUGUAGAGGGGGUAGAAUUCCAUGUGUAGCGGUGAAAUGCGUAGAGAUGUGGAGGAAUACCGGUGGCGAAGGCGGCCCCUGGACAAAGACUGACGCUCAUGUGCGAAAGCGUGGGGAGCAAACGAGGGAUUAGAUACC
rnacentral:rRNA from 1 species